AGUCGAGCGAGUCUGCCUUGAAGAUCGGAGUGCUUGCACUCUGUGAAACAAGAUACAGGCUAGCGGCGGACGGGUGAGUAACACGUGGGUAACCUGCCCAAGAGAUCGGGAUAACACCUGGAAACAGAUGCUAAUACCGGAUAACAACAGAUGAUGCCUAUCAACUGUUUAAAAGAUGGUUCUGCUAUCACUCUUGGAUGGACCUGCGGUGCAUUAGCUAGUUGGUAGGGUAACGGCCUACCAAGGCGAUGAUGCAUAGCCGAGUUGAGAGACUGAUCGGCCACAUUGGGACUGAGACACGGCCCAAACUCCUACGGGAGGCAGCAGUAGGGAAUCUUCCACAAUGGACGCAAGUCUGAUGGAGCAACGCCGCGUGAGUGAAGAAGGGUUUCGGCUCGUAAAGCUCUGUUGUUGGUGAAGAAGGACAGGGGUAGUAACUGACCUUUGUUUGACGGUAAUCAAUUAGAAAGUCACGGCUAACUACGAGCCAGCAGCCGCGGUAACACGUAGGUGGCAAGCGUUGUCCGGAUUUAUUGGGCGUAAAGCGAGUGCAGGCGGCUCGAUAAGUCUGAUGUGAAAGCCUUCGGCUCAACCGGAGAAUUGCAUCAGAAACUGUCGAGCUUGAGUACAGAAGAGGAGAGUGGAACUCCAUGUGUAGCGGUGAAAUGCGUAGAUAUAUGGAAGAACACCGGUGGCGAAGGCGGCUCUCUGGUCUGUUACUGACGCUGAGGCUCGAAAGCAUGGGUAG
rnacentral:rRNA from 1 species